rfam:Triticum urartu cultivar G1812 contig1193529, whole genome shotgun sequence.
AAUGUAUUACCUCCGUCCCAAAUUAGUUGUCUUAGAUUUGUCUAGAUAUGAAUAUAUCUAACACUAAAACAUGUCUAGAUACAUCCGUAUCUGAACAAAUCUGAGUCAACUAAUUAGGAAUGGAGGGAGUAGCUG